rnacentral:lncRNA from 1 species
CCAGCGCGCUGGGGCUCCGUGCUCACUCAACAAGGGAGAGCGGCCCAGAGCCCCGAGCAGAGGUUAAGCAGUGCUUAAGUACACUUUUUGGGGAGGGCAGGGGCUUUGCAUACAUCAGAACAAAUCAUCAUGAGGCGCGGGAAAAUCGAACAACAACUCUCAAACUUGAUUAGCACAUUCAUUGACGGGAACAGGUCGGGCGGGGGUGAUAGGUCAGUUCUAAAGCGGGGUACACAUUCAAACUGAUUGGUUUAGGCCCUGAGAUGCCUACGUGCUAAGCUGCACAGGGUCCUAGGUUAUUAAACAACUAGAUGGUCAGGGGAAAUAUUUACUGGGCAGUCCUGGGAAUUGUCCUAACAGCUACAGGAAUUUCAGGUUUUGGGUGUAGCAUAGGAACUUAACAAUACCUGGUCCUUUACAUUUUAACUCAGGCUUUGCAGCUUAGAAACUUUAUGAUACCCAGUCUUUUACACUUUAACUUCAAUUUCUUUUACUCUUACAAUUCCCACCCUGCUAAGUUGUUUAUCUACAAAUAAAGGAGAGAUCUGCUGCGCCAGGUGUCCUGACUCAGUCAAGCUAGGUGGGGAUCCAUAGCAGCCCCCUAGUAGCCACCAAUCAGCAUGAGACAGGGAAAUACCUGGGAUGCCAGAUGACCCUUCCAGUAUUUUAUGGUGAUUGAUAACAAGUUGGGAAACCAUGUAGUACAGCACGUACACCCCUCUUGGCUCAAACCAAUCAGUUCAAACGAAUACCCCUUUUGUACUGACCAAUCACCCCUACCAACUUGUUCCCGUCAGUGAAUGUGCUAAUCAUGUUUUAGAGUUGUUAUUUGAUUUUCCUGUGGUGUGUGAUGAUUUGCUAAAAGAGGCUAUGAUGUAUGUGAAGUCCCUGCCCUCUCCAAAGAAUGUAUAAAAAUGCUGCAAACCCUGGGCUCGGGGCCUCUCAGCGUCACCAGUUGCUGUGUGUGCGUGCGGAGGACUGAGCUAGCUUGCAAUAAACACCUCUUUGCUGCUUGCAUUGA